CGGGGCUCAUUAGGCCUAGCCGGGUGCCGAGAGGUGCGCGCGGUCGGCCCCCGAGGCCGCCUUUGAGCCGUCGGGGCGGCUUCAUUAAGUGGCGCUAACUAGGCGUACAAAUGCGGGAACCCAGCAGCUUUCUUGCAAUGCCGGAGCCUUAGCAGGGCGCCAGGCUAAUGAGGGUCACUCAAAGGGGCUGAUCAAAUAUUCAAAUUUCCCUUCACGCCGGGAACUUUUUAUGCACCGGAGAAAGUUGAGGCAACUAAGUUGUGUUUACCGUCCCC
rnacentral:lncRNA from 1 species